rnacentral:rRNA from 1 species
GAUGAACGCUGGCGGCGUGCCUAAUACAUGCAAGUCGAGCGAACAGACGAGGAGCUUGCUCCUCUGACGUUAGCGGCGGACGGGUGAGUAACACGUGGAUAACCUACCUAUAAGACGGGGAUAACUUCGGGAAACCGGAGCUAAUACCGGAUAAUAUAUUGAACCGCAUGGUUCAAUAGUGAAAGACGGUUUUGCUGUCACUUAUAGAUGGAUCCGCGCCGCAUUAGCUAGUUGGUAAGGUAACGGCUUACCAAGGCAACGAUGCGUAGCCGACCUGAGAGGCGGAUCGGCCACACUGGAACGGAGCCACGGUCCAGACUCCUACGGGAGGCAGCAGUCGGGAAUCUUCCGCAAUGGGCGAAAGUCUGACGGAGCAACGCCGCGUGAGUGAUGAAGGUCUUCGGAUCGUAAAACUCUGUUAUUAGGGAAGAACAAAUGUGUAAGUAACUAUGCACGUCUUGACGGUACCUAAUCAGAAAGCCACGGCUAACUACGUG